GCGAGUGAGAUCAUACCUGUGUUAAUGCACCGGAUCCCAUCAAAACUACGUAGUUAAGCACGCUUGGGCUAGAGUAGUACUAGGAUGGAUGAUCUCCCGGGAAGUCCUAGUGUUGCUUGCA
rfam:Picea glauca, whole genome shotgun sequence.